rnacentral:rRNA from 1 species
GACGAACGCUGGCGGCGUGCUUAACACAUGCAAGUCGAGCGGAGACAAUUGGCUUCGGCUGAUUGUUUUAGCGGCGGACGGGUGAGUAACGCGUGAGCAAUCUGUCCCAGACAGGGGGAUAACACUUGGAAACAGGUGCUAAUACCGCAUAAGACCACGAGAUCACAUGGUUUACGGGGUAAAAGGAGGAAUCCGGUUUGGGGUGAGCUCGCGUCCGAUUAGCUAGUUGGUGAGGUAACGGCCCACCAAGGCGACGAUCGGUAGCCGACCUGAGAGGGUGAUCGGCCACAUUGGGAACUGAGAAACGGUCCAAACUCCUACGGGAGCAGCAGGUGGGGAAUAGUUGGG